rnacentral:rRNA from 1 species
GACGAACGCUGGCGGCGUGCUUAACACAUGCAAGUCGAACGGAAAGGCCCUGCUUUUGUGGGGUGCUCGAGUGGCGAACGGGUGAGUAACACGUGAGUAACCUGCCCUUGACUUUGGGAUAACUUCAGGAAACUGGGGCUAAUACCGGAUAGGAGCUCCUGCUGCAUGGUGGGGGUUGGAAAGUUUCGGCGGUUGGGGAUGGACUCGCGGCUUAUCAGCUUGUUGGUGGGGUAGUGGCUUACCAAGGCUCUGACGGGUAGCCGGCCUGAGAGGGUGACCGGCCACAUUGGGACUGAGAUACGGCCCAGACUCCUACGGGAGGCAGCAGUGGGGAAUAUUGCACAAUGGGCGGAAGCCUGAUGCAGCAACGCCGCGUGCGGGAUGACGGCCUUCGGGUUGUAAACCGCUUUCGCCUGUGACGAAGCGUGAGUGGCGGUAAUGGGUAAAGAAGCACCGGCUAACUACGUG